rnacentral:rRNA from 1 species
CAAAGGUAGCAUAAUCAUUAGGGGUUUAAUUGGAACCUGGAAUGAAGGGUUGGACAAAGGAAAAACUGUCUUAUCUGCAAAAGUUGAAAUUUACUUUUAAGUGAAAAGGCUUAAAUAUCUCAGGGGGACGAUAAGACCCUAUAAAGCUUUAUAGAUAAUUUAAAUUUGGCUAAUUUAUAAAAAAUAAAAGUUAAAUCUAACUGUUCUAUUUUAUUGGGGUGAUGUGAGCAUAAUUAUUGUUAACUGCUUAAUAAAAAUACUGUAUACGGUAGAAUCUAAAGUGAAUGAUCCUUUAUAAAGAUUAAAAGACUAAGUUACUUUAGGGAUAACAGCGUUAUUUUUUUUGAGAGUUCAUAUCGAAAAAAAAGAUUGCGACCUCGAUGUUGAAUUAAAAAGUCUAUAUAAUGCAGCAGUUAUAAAAGAAGGUCUGUUCGACCUUUAAAUUUUUACAUGAUUUGAGUUCA